AUUUCAGUGGCCUAGUGGUUAGAGCGUCCGUCUCGGAUGCGGGAGGUCGUGGGUUCGAACCUCGGCUGAGUCAUA